GUCUCUGUAUCCCUGAGUGUCUGAGACACCCUCUCUCUCUUUCUCUGGCUCUGCCCAGGUCUCUGUCAGUGCUUCUGCAUUUGAGUCUCCCUGUGGCUGCAUCUGACUCGACCCCCUAGCCCCAAGGCCUAGGGACUGCCCUUGAGUCUGGAGCUCUAAGUUUCUGGCCUUGCUGGGUGGAGCCCUGAGACCCCCAGCGGAAGAACGGUCCCACCCCUCUGUCCCGGGCCCAGCUGUUACCUUGUGAAGCCUCAAAGAGGCCCCGGCCAGCAUAGCCUAGGGCCCCGCUCAGCACCAGGGAGUACAGGCCCAGCUCUGCUGCGGGCAAGGCUGUCUUGACGCCCAUAGCCUGGAUGGGGCUGAGGGAGACAGAUUGGAUGAGGGCACUGCUGGCCCCCGGCCCUGCCUAGCCCAGUUCAGGGUCCCCACUGAGGUAAAGCGGUCCCCAUUCUGAAGAGAGACAGCCCCUUGGGCAUCUCAUGCCAUCAUUCUCCCCGCGCAUCUCCCGCUCCUCCCAGGCCCCCUGCCGUUUGGUGCCCCAUCCUAGCCGCUACUCUCGGCCCCUCCCCCUUCCCGCUGAAGGCUCUUGAAAGCAUUGUCUUCACGCUCAGCCGGCCUUCUACACCUUCAUUCACUCCUCCAUACCUUUCAGGUGGACCGGUCCCCACCCUCUGCUCAAACUGCUCCUCCAAGGUCUCAGAUGACUUUCUUGUGGAGAAACUCCCUCUGCAUCACCUCAGUCAUAGUUCUGGCCCCUAGGGUUCCCACUCCCCUCAGUAAGUCUCUCUCAACUCCUGACAAAUCCACCCCUCCUCCGGGCCCCUUUCUCUGAUUCCAUACCCUCCUGAGCUGCCUUUACUUCCUGUGACCUCCCCACGGGAGGAGGGAGGUCUAGCCUAUAGCUUCUCAUUGACCCCCAACACGCCAACCAGCCCCUGAGCCCCAGCCUGCCACAUCCCUGGUUCCUGCCUGUGUCCGUGGCCACACCUGCCCACUCUCUCAGUGCUCUGUGUAUCCAGGCCCGGGAUGCCGGCUGGAGGCUGUGCUAUUUGAGGAAGAGCCCUGGGGUAGUGGGUGUGGGGCUAGGCUGGGCCAGGCAGACACCGGGGAGUGUGCUGGCCGCUGCCCAAGGUGCUGACCAGCAUAGGGCUCGGGGUGAGCCUGGCCACUCCCUCCUGCCAGGGCCUAGCUCAUCCCCAGGAGUCCUCCUGGGUCAUCCCUGGGACCUAAGCUAGCACCUGUGCCCUCUCUAUCCUGCUCCGGCCUGACCCGUGGCCAUCCUUUCAGGCUGGGCUGAGCGAGGUGGCUGGCGUGGCCCUCUCUCCCGCCCCAGAUCCUCUAUAUCUCCCUCACCAAUUCCGAAACCGGCUCUCCUGGGCCGCCACAGUCGGCAUUCUCCCCAUUACACAGAUGGAGGGCUCGUGGACCAGAGAGGGGCAGGGACCUGUCAAGGUCACACAGUGGACCAGGGACAGGAUUGAGUGUUCUCAGUGAGCCCCCCUGCAGUCUCUGAUCGGAGAAGACCGUCCGCUGCCCCUGCCCCUACCAGCGGCCUGCCGGACCUGACUUCUACACCGCUGGCCUGAGGGCUGACGCACCUCCCCACGGGCCGGGUGGGGGUAGGGAGGCCCUGAGGAUCGGGUUAAGGGAGCAGAAGCUUGAAACCGGAGCACGGUGAAGAGCCUGCGAAAUAGCUUUGUCAGCUGCCUCCCACUCUCCACUUUCCAAUUUUAGCUCCCCGUGGCCGGUGCCGGGUGUCCCCUGUGAGGCCUCUGUGAGCAAGGCCAGGGCUGGCCCCCAGCCUGGGACCUCUCCUGAUAGACCCCAGACCUGGGCCAGCCUGUGGACAGAGGAGUGCCCCCUGCCCACUGACCUGCCCGCCUGAGGUACGUGGGCCUCUCACUGUUGUGGCCUCUCCUGUUGUGGAGCACAGGCUCCGGACGUGCAGGCUCAGUGGCCAUGGCUCACGGGCCCAGCCGCUCCGCUGCAUAUGGGAUCUUCCCGGACCGGGGCACGAACCCCCGUCCCCUGCAUCGGCAGGCGGACUCUCAACCACUGCGCCACCAGGGAAGCCCUAGAACUAACCUUUUGAUUUAGGACAACUAAACCGUCCUCUGGAGCUGGUGUGGUCAUGUGAUUAGGAUCUGGCCAAUGGGAUGAAAGCAUAAGUGACACAAGCAACCUUAGGGUCCUGCCCUUGAAAGGCGCCUUGCUUGCCCCACCCUCAUCCCAGAGGCCCUGGAAGAUGAGGCACCACACGGAGAGAGAGGCCACAUACAGGAGAAUGGAGGUGCCCCUGCUGAGCUGGCUGAACGGGGCAUGUGAGUGAUCCAGGUGGCAUGAUGUGAAACAGAAUUACCUAGGCCACCCACAGAAUGACCUCAGUCUAGCCUGGGACUUCUUCCCACCAAAGCCGCCAGUGACACCGAGUGCCGUGCCAUGCUCGUGCAAGAUCUUCAUCACUGGUGAGUUGAGCCGACUGCAGAGAGAUUUACCUACUGCAGAGAGUCCCUCCCUUGAGAUGCCCACCUCACAGCCACCUGCAUGCAACUGUCCUACGGGGGGCACGUAGGACAGGGCAAACCACAAGUGUGACAACGGGUCCCCGAGACAGAGGGGCACUUGAGGGUCACGUGAGAUGUGGCUGGGAAUGCCCGGGGCCAACACUGUGGGAGCCAGACUCACCAGUGAGGUGGACCCAGUCAUGGACGCGGCCUGGCCUCUGUCCAAGAGGGAUGCCCUUGGGCCAGGCUGCCCACCCUCAGCCCACCUAGGCCCGUGAGAGUGCAUCCCUGGCGCCAGGUGUUACCGUUUCUGCAGAACGGUGACGAACUCGGUGAGCCGGUCACGCUCCACCUCAGCGGCCUGCCACAGGGCUUUGAACUCUGUCACCUGUGUCUGCCAGGCUUUUUGUUCUGGGGAGUCCGAGAACCUGGGGACCAAGGUGCGGGCAGAGGUCAUUUAAGGGUUACCUGAAGAGAUGCUUAUCCCUAUGGUGGUGGGAGGGGCUGGAAGGACAUUCAGGGGUCCUCAGAGGGUGCCAGAGAGAAGAAGCCAAUCCAGCCCCUCCCGGCCUCUUCCAUUGGCUUCUUCUCAGUUUACUGUUCCUGGGCCUGCUGAAGUCUCUAGACCUCACUUAGCUGGCUCCAGAGCCAGACCCCAGCAGGGCUGUAGUUUCAUCGGCACCUUUGUCCAUCCAAUCCCUGUAGGGGCCUGGAGUUAGUCUGGUGGCUAUGGAAGUUGGCUCUUGGGGACCUGGGGGUGCCCUGGGAACCUGUGUGGCCUGGGACCUGACCACCCUUCUCAGUGUCAGGUAGGCCCAGCCUCUGUCUCCCUGUCAGCCUGUCCUGGCCCUCCUGUAUCUCCUGGCAUGGCCCCAAGCCCAGUCCACUUUCCUGGACCCUGGACACUUGCUUUGUAAUUUGGUCAGUUUUCUCCAGCCCUGAUCCAGCCCAUCACCGGUUCCCUCCUCACCACUGGGCCUUACCUGCUGGCUGGGGUUGGGACCCAAGGUGAGCUCUGCCCCCCACCCCAAGCCCCCAGAGCCCAUGUGCGAGUGCCAAGCUGCUUUCUGCUCUGCCCUCACCCUCCCCAGGGAGACCCUGGUGAUGCUGACUCGCUCUUCCAGAAUCACAGGACAUGGGGAGGGCGGGGCCGCAGUCCUCCCUCUAAACUGGGGUUGGUUGAGAUGGGCUCUGAGGACUACAGGCUCCUCCAUUUUCCGGCUCCUAAAUACACUCUAGGGCCCUGCCGCUCAGUGUGGUCUUUGAGCCAGCGACUGUGGCAUCACCUGGGAGCUUGUUGGAACUGCAGGAUCCCACUUCCUGCAGGAUCUGACCUGUGGAAUCAGAACCUGCAUCUAACCCAGCAGAUCCUCAGCUGAUUCGCGUGCACAGCGCAGUGGGGAACCCUACGCCAGUCACCCCUGUGAUCUCACGUGUUGGGGGAGGAGCUGAUCCCCUUGCCCCGCCUGCCUCCCAGGCACCCCAUCAGAGCCGCCACGCCAGCCCUGACAGACACACUCUCUGGGGUCACUCCCACCCCGUGAACGUCUGUCCUGUCGCUGACGGGAGAGCACUGUAGGCUCCGUGAGGGCAGGGGCCCGCACACGGUUGGGUUUAGUAAAUAUUUGUGUGUGGUGGAAGAAACAAGCUUAAGAACCAGCAGUCUGGGCAGCCCGGGGCACAUCGGCUCCUGUAUCCCUGUGGAGUGCAAAGGUCAUGGCCACAAAAGCCUGGAAGGGACCUUGGGGGCAUCUUGUCCAUCUUCUUGCCUCUACUACUGUGACAACCACCUCAGAGUGACAGAGCCUGUCUGUUUUCCUUGUGGUGUUGGAAGAGUGUGGCAUGGGCCCUUGAGGCUCAGAGUUGGGCCCCUCUCUCCCAGUGCCCUUGUGACCCCAGGCCGCUGGAUGGGGCAUCUGCAGGGGUGGCCUUGGCCCACGGGUACCUGUGCUACCAAAUGUCAGGCCAGAAGUACCCCAAGCACUUCUUGGGGAAUAGCAGCCCAAGGAGGACCGAUCUGCGGAGCCACACAGCAAGUCAAACAUGAGAUGAGGGCCCCUCAGAGGCUCGACCGGAACCUGAACUGACCUGCCCGAGGGGUGGGAGAAGCAGCUGACAGCCGGAGCGCAGCUCCAGUGGACAGUGGGUGGGGCUCGGGACGGGGCUCCGAGGCAGGACAAAGCCACCCUUUGUCUGUGAGCUGGCAGGAAGAACAAGGGCCCAUUUAAGCCCUAAGGCUUGAUUCUGUCAACAAAGAGGGGGCCAGAGAGCUGAGGGGAUAUCAGUGGCUUAAAGUGGGAACCCAUAUGACGUGAAAUUCUUCCCCUAGAGAUGGACUCUCAACGCGCAAGGGGAGGCAAGGGAAGGUGCUGGGCUCCAGGCCCUGGAAGAUUCCUCGUGUUAACUCUGUGGUAGCAGGAAGGAACACUAGACCGAGACUCUAGUUCUGAAGCCGCUUGCCCUAUCACGUUGGAUAAGGCACUGGACCUCCCUGACCCUCCAUGUCCUUAUGGAACCUUGGAAGAGUCCCUGGACUUGGCCUGGCCUCGGUUUCCCAGCCUUGUAAUGGGAUGGCAAUACUGACUGAGCAGUCAAGGAUGGGAAGGCCUGUGAGGGCCCGGGGUGGGGGGCCUGGGUUCCUACCUGGGUGAGGGCCCGUGAGGACUGUGCAGGGAAGGCCAUGUGAGAGCAGACUCCACCAGUGUGUGGCCCAGGCUGGUCACAGAGCUGUGCGAAGGCGGAACGGGCACAUCACCACGGGCAGGCAGGCUGGGCCCAGCUGGGAGGGGAGCAGGGGCCAGCAGGGCACUGGGGAGCCAGAGGAGGGGGCCAGCACCGGCCCUUGCAGCAGCCCUGUGGAUUUGCUGCCCUCCUUUCCAGAACCCUCGCUUACUUAAAACAAGACAGGAGCAGGGGACAUCAGAGCCUCGAACAACCCAACACAGGUGUGUUUGAGAAUCCUAGAAGCAGGUGAGAUUCGAGGCCAUCUGGGAGGGGAAUUUACAGGGAGCUACAACCAAACGCUCUUGAAGUAAUACUAUCUGGACCUAACUGGCUCCUUCAUGCAGAUGCAGGGCUGACGGAAGCCCCCCGCAACCCCGCCCCGCUUUGGGAGGACGACACCACAGGCAUCGUAAAAUUGCACCCGUGGCUUCCCAUCCUUUCUUCUGAAUAAUUACUAUUCACUUUCCAACCCCUCCCACUUUUUCUUACCGAGAAGAUCCGAGCCUGCCAGCGUGAUCGCCUGCUGAGGACGGGGAAUUGGUCAGGCCCGGGUCCUCGGGGAGCUUGGCGGAGGCCGGGUUGACCUCGGGCCCACUGGACCCCUCGCCUACUCCUUUAUUCCGAAGAUACUGCAGGGAACAGAUGUGGGUUCCCUUCUCAGGGCUUUGGCUCAGAGGCCUGGAGAAGGCAGGAGGGGGCCUUGGCUUGAUUUGGGGGCUUUCAGGAGAUAUGAAAGAGGCUUCUUUUCAGGAGUGCAAAGCGAGGCCUGUUCGGUGAAGGCGCUCCUUGCAUUAUAAUGACAGCUAAUAAUGCCUCUCUUCAGAAAGGGAGCUUCAUGGCCAAAGGAGGGUGACCGGGCCAGGAAGUUGUUCCACAUUCAGGUCCCAGGGGGAAGUAUGGGGACAGGCCCCCCUCUCUGGGUAGCCCCACCCACAUGGAUGAAUGCCAGGUGUGCCUUGAGGCCCCUGGCCUUUGCCAGCUGGAGACACUCAGGCCUUCCCCCAUCCCUCCCUCUUCCGGAUGGCUGGUGGGGCCGGCUGAAGGAGGAGCACUGCAGGACCCCCAGCAGGCGGUCAGGCGGCCGUCAACGGUGGGCCAGUUGGCGUGAGCCCCCAACAACCUGGCCUGUCCCCCAAGCCCUGCCCAUCCUGAGAAAACUCUCAGUGUGUGCCCUCUUGUCUGGUGGGUAGUGCUUGGCCCCAGCUGUCCCGGGGCCUCUGAGGUGAGAAUCAGUCUUCUUUUGUGUGCCUGGAGCCAGGACAGCGGUGAGGUGAAGAUGCUCUUCCUUCCAGGCCUCUGCCGAGGGAAAACAUCUUCGGGAGCUCACUGCUUAGACGAGCAUUGACUGAGCAACUACUGUGUGCUCAGUCUUGGGCCAGACACCAUGGUCUUUUCCCCCUCAAGGAGAGGUUGGGGGAGAAAACAGGAAAUUGAUCACACAGCAUGACCAAAGUUUGGCUUGGGAAUGUACAGGGAGUUACGAGAGUGACCAGGAGGGGCACGUCACCCAGAAUGGGAGCCCUGGAACUUCCUGGAGGAGCUCUUGACUAAUAAGAUCUAAAGGCUGAGGGGGAGGAAAGGGAAGGUGUGUGCUUCAGGCAUGUGCACAGGCCCAGAGUGGGGAGAAAGCAAGGCCAUGGAGGAGCUAAAUGGCAUCCACAUGGCCAGAGUUGUGGAAAGUGGGGAGUGAAGAGAAGAUGCGGGGGGUGGGGGCAGCAGGAGCUAGUCACAUGGCGCCCUGCAAACUGGACGAAGGAGCGUGGCUUCCCUUCUGCCAUCCCACUGCCUGGAAUGUGGACGUAAAGGCUGGCACUGUGGCCACCAUCUUGGACCAAGAGGACGAAGGCCACAGCUGGGGAGGGAGAGGGUGAGCUGGCAGGAGCCCGAGCCCUUGAGGACUGGGUGAGGCGGAGAGUGAUGGGGAGCCACAGACAGGUUUUAUGUGGAGCAGGGAGACAAUCUGGUGUGUCCCUUCGAGAGGAAAGCUGUGUGCACAAUGGGCCGGGGAGCCAGAUGGAAGCAGGGGGCCAAAGUGGGACCAGGUAGGACGUGGCGCAGCCCAAGUGAAGGCAGGUGGGGAGAAGGGGAGGUGGUUGAGGUUUCUCUGGAUACUGGAUGGACUUGCCAGGACUUGGGAAUGGAUGCUGGGCUGAGCCAGCGCCCUACUCACCUGCAUACUGAGUUGCCCAAUCUCCACCUCCAGCUGCCGCACCUUGGCCUCCCGCUCAGCCACCGUGGCCCGCAGCUGGGCCACGAGGCUGCUGCUCUGCUGAGCCUCAUUGUUGAGCUGCUGGUGCAAGUGGUGCUUGGACGCUCGCGUCUUCUCCUCCUGCAGACUCAGGCUGCCCAGAAUCUCCUGUAGCUGCUUCAGCUGGUCCUGCGGGGCCAAGUGGGAGGGUGGGUGAGGGUCAGCCACGGCCCUGAGUAAAGAAGGACACGAGAGAAGACCCCCUCCUCCCACCCGCAGCUCCCACCCCUUCCCUGCUCCCUCGGGAACCUAACAGUGGGACGCUAGCGUUUCCCUGAGAAGCAGGAGGAACACCUUGCCUGUCCUUAGGGCGGGGUUCAACCAGGUUUUCCUGUCCUCAACUUCUUUCUCCCUGAGAUCGAGGCUAAGAAGGACAUCUAAGCGGCUCUCGGGACAACAGAAAACAGCUCAGAUGGUGGCCCCUCAGCCAGUGGGUAAAAAGAAGCCCUAUCCCACUGUGCUGGAAGACCACCUUUGAAGGCAGUACCUGGACCCCUCACCACGGAUCCUUCAGCACCUGAUGGAGGCCACCUCCCUGGAGAUGCUCCCAAGGAGACCUCUGGGGUGGAGGCUUCCUGCCUGGGGGCUGGGAAGGACCAUAUUGGCGACCUGGAACAGGUGAGGGCGUUGUCGUCACCUCUUUGUGGAGGAAAUGGAGGCCCAGAGAGCCCAGGACGCACUGCUGGUGAAUGGCAGGGCUAGGGCUUGUUUGCAGCUCUCACCAUGCACCUUCAGUGACAAAGAAUAGUGGCCCCAGGGACGUCAAUGGACAUCCAGGCCACACCUUAUUUAAAAACUGGGAGCUGGGCUUCCCUGGUGGCACAGUGGUUGAGAGUCCGCCUGCCGGCGCAGGGGACGCGGGUUCGUGCCCCGGUCCGGGAGGAUCCCACAUGCCGCGGAGCGGCUGGGCCUGUGAGCC